GCCGAUACAGCUCAGUUGGCAGAGCAGCCCUUUUGUAAAGGGAAGGCUGCAGGUUCAAGUCCUGCUGUCGGCUCCA
rnacentral:tRNA from 1 species